GCAGCCGCCGCGGUAAAACGGAGGGAGCUAGCGUUGUUCGGAAUUACUGGGCGUAAAGCGCGCGUAGGCGGUUACUCAAGUCAGAGGUGAAAGCCCGGGGCUCAACCCCGGAACUGCCUUUGAAACUAGGUGACUAGAAUCUUGGAGAGGUCAGUGGAAUUCCGAGUGUAGAGGUGAAAUUCGUAGAUAUUCGGAAGAACACCAGUGGCGAAGGCGACUGACUGGACAAGUAUUGACGCUGAGGUGCGAAAGCGUGGGGAGCAAACAGGAUUAGAUACCCGAGUAGUCCCUGUCUCUUAUAA
rnacentral:rRNA from 1 species